AGCGAACGCUGGCGGCAGGCCUAACACAUGCAAGUCGAACGGAUCCUUCGGGAUUAGUGGCGGACGGGUGAGUAACACGUGGGAACGUGCCCUUUGGUUCGGAACAACUCAGGGAAACUUGAGCUAAUACCGGAUGUGCCCUUCGGGGGAAAGAUUUAUCGCCAUUGGAGCGGCCCGCGUCUGAUUAGCUAGUUGGUGAGGUAAGGGCUCACCAAGGCGACGAUCAGUAGCUGGUCUGAGAGGAUGAUCAGCCACAUUGGGACUGAGACGCGGCCCAAACUCCUACGGGAGGCAGCAGUGGGGAAUCUUGCGCAAUGGGCGAAAGCCUGACGCAGCCAUGCCGCGUGAAUGAUGAAGGUCUUAGGAUUGUAAAAUUCUUUCACCGGGGACGAUAAUGACGGUACCCGGAGAAGAAGCCCCGGCUAACUUCGUGCCAGCAGCCGCAGUAAAAC
rnacentral:rRNA from 1 species